UGCAGGCGCUGUCAAAGUACAUAGUAGAACAUAUUUAGGAAUUGCAUUGAGCCAAGGUGCCAUGAGAGCCUAGUUAUGAAGGACCGGCAAGGGGAAGGAGGGGGCAUCAAAAAAUUGCAGACAAACAGGAAAAUGUUGAGUUCAUCAAAAGGGGAUUUCCAAAUACAAAUGAAUUUUCGGCUGGCAGGCAGACGUCCCUGAGAGAGAUACAGUGCUCCGAAGAGCUGCUCAAAUAAACACCCACAAGGCCGGAGACAAAGCAGACGGAGGCUCUCUGUCGCCGGCUUGGAUGGCAACGUGUACUCGUGUACUUGCAAUCAGUCCGCAAAACCUAAACACUUGCCAGUCCCCCAGUCAGCCCUGUCGAUCCCUCUUAGGUGUUGGCUCUAAAAACACAGCAAAGCAAAAAAGGCUUUUGCUUACUCUGCGAGAAAUGCCAAUCAACCCUUUCUUUGCCUUGGUAUGUGGAAUAUGCACGAGCGAAUACCAGGCGCUGGUCUAGGCGGAGGAUUGGCAAUUUUAUCCAACUGGUGUGGGAGUAUUGAGGCUAGAGGCCGUAUAACGUCAACGUGAACGCCGACUCAUUUCGAUUCAGACGGCAAACUUUUCAAACGUUUAACUAGCCGACAUUCCGGGACGUUUAGGAUGUGGCUGCUAAAAGUGUAGCAUACCAAAAGGCGACCAGGCUCGACAAGCGCAAAAUGAGCGAAUGCGAAAGUAAAAGGCAGCGACGCGGAUUUAAAAGUUUAAAUAACUUUUACGUAUCUCAUUACUCAGAGCGACAACAUCACCAGCUCCCCACAGAGCCCCCCUUUAGGUAACCCACCACCCAGCUGUCUGUUCUGUGCAGCUCUGAGCUCUAAAAUAAUCACAAUAAAAUCGCAUAAUUCAAUUACAAGCCUCGUUAAGCCGGCUCAAGUGAUUUUGUCACACUAUGCCCUGCACUUUUGUCGCUUUCAGCAAAGAAAAAUAGAAAAAAAAUUACGCACAGCAACAACAGAAAACUAAAUAAAUCGCGUUAGUGUUUGUAUAGAAGAGCUAGUGAUUUAUGUAGGAUUUAGAGCUGACGAUUAUCGGUUAUAUCUCCAGAUAGACAAGCAAGCGUAUGAUGAAUCAAACAGCAAGGGCUGAAAAAGGCUUUAAGCCGGAGCAAAGUUAAAAAAUUAAAUGCUUUGUGACAGCGAAAAGAAAUGUGAGAGAUAUCUGUUGGAUUUGUGAGAAAGUUUAAAUAUCAUGUAAAUAAAGAGCUGGAAAUAAA